UACGUAGGGCGCAAGCGUUGUCCGGAUUUAUUGGGCGUAAAGAGCGUGUAGGCGGUCUUAUAGGUCAGCUGUGAAAACUCGAGGCUCAACCUCGAGACGUCAGUUGAAACCGUAAGGCUAGAGUCCGGAAGAGGAGAGUGGAAUUCCAGGUGUAGCGGUGAAAUGCGUAGAUAUCUGGAGGAACAUCGGUGGCGAAGGCGGCAUCCUGGACCGGUAUUGACGCUGAGGCGCGAAAGCCAGGGGAGCAAACGGG
rnacentral:rRNA from 1 species